AAUGCUUAGUUUACUUCUAAGAUAUUUCAUAAAAUGUUUUUCUCCAAUUCUCUUUUAUCUUUACCUCCUAAAGAACAUCUGGAUCAUUUUACUGAAUCUGCCCCUUAAUCUUAAGUUGCAUUGACAACAUAUAUGGUGUUAGAAGAGAUGGAAGUGUAUUUGAGAUAUUUAUAGCAGGUGAACACUCAUGGCCUGUCACUGAUGUAAUUGCUACACCCUUCAAGGAAUCACAAGCUGUGCUAAACACACCAGGUGCUAAUCCCUCUUGAAUCAUGAUGCACUCAGUGUGGAAAUUCUGUUAUCGUUAACUUGAAGGAUUCAGAAAUGUGUAUUGGAGCAAAAAUUUAAAAAGUGUGUGUGUGUGUGUGUGUGUGUGUGUGUGUGUGUGUGUGUGUGUGUGUGUGUGUGUAGGUACUCUGGAAGCCAGAAGCAUCAGAUCAGGUAGUCUGAACCUGACAUGGGUGGUGGGAAUGGAGCCUUAACCAUUGAGCCAUCUCUCCAGCCCACAAUACUCACAUUUUAAUUAAAACAUCUGUUGUAUUUGGAAAGGCUGGGAAUGGGUUGGUGGUACACAGAAAGUUAGUCCAUCCAAAUGGCUUGUUUAUGUUACUCACAGCUAUUCCCGAUGGCCUGAAGAGGGAAGAAAUGUUCAAAAAGCUGUCUGUUGAAUGCUGAGUGUGUGGCAACUACAGUGGUAUUUAUCUUGUCAGAUUAUUUAAUUUAAACUGAACAACCAAGGUGCUGUUAUUCUAGUUUUCAGAUGAGGAAACUGAGGGAAGGUCAAGCCACCACCAUCUCAAAGCUGUAGCCUUAUAAAGUGUGGGAUGUAGCACUGAUAAAAGCACCACUAUGCAGUUGUUUUGUUUAUUUCAAAUUCUCCUGGCAAUGAGGGAUGAAUAGGGCUAUCUGAUCCUCUGAUCUUGCUGACCUCAGCACAGCAAAAAAGGAGAGAUGCUUAUCUGAAAGCGUUCUCUCAUCCCAGGCAUCUGUAACUGUCCUUCCAAGAAGUCUUUCUGGCAAGCAUCAGAUGACUUAACCAUUUGCUCCCUUUACAUUGUAGUUUCUUUUCAUCUUCAUUUUUCCACUGAACCAGGCUGCUCAACCAAGCCAGGUGUAAACCAGUGUUCUGUAAAUGAUCAUCUAAAAUUGGUGUUCCAUCAUCGUGGGGGAAGAGCACAUUUGGAGGGAGUUGAUGCUGGAGAAGACUCAUGUGCAAUAACCUUCCUAUUAGACUCCUGAAAUGUUGAAAUGUGAUGUCGGAUUAGGCUGGAAACUCAGGUUCAACACUGGCAAAGCCUGACUGAAAGAUGCCAGUCACAGUGCUGGUAAAAGGUGGGGACUACGGAAGACAUUCUCUAUUGAAAAUGUCUCAAUUAGGUUUUCUAUAGCUAUGAAGAGACACCAUGACCACAGCAACUCUUACAAAGGAAAACAUUUAAUUGGGGCUAGCUUACAGUUUUAGAGUUUUAGUCCAUUUUUUGUCAUGGUGUGAAACAAGGCAGCAUUUAGGCAUACAUGGUGCUGGAGAGGUAUCUGAGAAUUCUACAUCUUGAUCUGCAGGUAACAGGAAAUUAACUAUGUCUUGCACAGACAUAGCUUGAGCAUAUAAGACCUUAAAGCUCACCGCCACAGUGAUACACUUCCUCCAACAAGGCCUCACCUUCUAAUAGU
rnacentral:lncRNA from 1 species